AUCUUAAUUCAAGCAAAAAAAUUUAAAGAUUUACAAUAACUAUCCACCAUCCUUCAUUCAGAAAUUGCUACCUUUCUAGAUAACUACUCAACUAUUUUUCAACACCCAGGUGGUCUUCUGCCUUCUAAGACCACAUGACUACCAUAUUCAUCUCCUAUCAAACACAUCCCCUAUCAAUGUGAAACCCUACCACCUACCUCACUUUUAAAAAGAGGUCAUGACCUCCAUCAUACAUGACAUGUAAAGGGAAGGAACCAUAGACCUUGGUAAUAGUUCAUUUUUCUCUCUAGUUUUUCUAGUUAAAAAAAGAUGGGACAUGAUGAUUUUGUGUUGACUAGAGAGCACUAAAUAUUGUUACAAUUAAAGAUAUAUUUCAUAUUCUUAUAAUUGACGAAUUAUUAAAUGAACUUAGAGUAGUAUCAGUUUUUUAUCAAGAUAGAUUUACGUUCAAAUUAUCAUCAAGUUUGUAUUGUAUUGGAAGAUACACAUGAGACUUCUUUUCAAACUUUUGAUGAUCAUGUAAGAUCCCAAUUUUGACCACUAAGAUCCCUCAUAUCAUCUCAUUGCUUUGCAUUGGCAUUGAGAUCACACCUUGGUAUCCUCUUCACCUAUCAUUCAUUGGGUUUGCAUUGGAAGAGAUCACCAAGCAUUUGUGAUUGUAUUAUACUUUAUUUUCUUUGUUUACUAACUAAAAAUACAAAAAUAUGUCUAGUAUGACUUUGUUUCUUUUGUAGGUAGCGUGUGUGUCCACAUGUGCCUCAUCAAGCUCACAACUAGGGUUUGAGACCCUCAAUGUAAGGGGUCAAGCAAGCAAAGGUCCACUUUGGUUCUAAGUAUCAUAUAUGGGUCUCAUUGUUCUUUAUUUGUCAUUUUGAUCAAGAAUUCAUCAAGAGUUUGAAGUUUGUUUGUCAAGGAAACCCUAAUUCAUUUGGGUAUCUUGUGUGCCUUCCUCAGCAAGUUUAUUUACCAUUUGGUCAAAGAUAUCAUGAGAUACUCCAUUUUACCUCAUCAUAAGCAUAUAUUAUCCUCCAUGAGCCCCUAAGAGCAAAAGAACUUCAAGUUUGCAAGUUGGUUCAAGGAUGUUGACCAAAAAAGUCAACUAGUCAAAUCUAGGGUUCCCUAGACCCUAUCUGCUACAAAUUUUGUCAUAUGAAAAUGAUUACAAGAGAAACGUUACUCUUUUUAACAUUACAAACAACUUUAAUGUUGGCAUCAAGAGCUAAUGUUGUUUGGAAAGUCAUUUUUUAUGGUGAAAGAUUAUAGGUCAUUUUGUUUGUGCCCUAGAUAGAAGGUCAACUUCUAAGAACUAUAACUUCUUCAAUUUUUAUGAUAUAAAGAUCAUUCAAGUUUCAUGAUU
rnacentral:lncRNA from 1 species